rnacentral:rRNA from 1 species
AUGUCAAGUGCCACUACAAAAAUAAAUGAGUAUUUUUUAGAGUUCCUAAAGGUGGAUGAUACAUCAGGACUUGGACUUUAUAAAGAGUUAAUAACUGCACUUGGGUUGCUUGGUUUGAAUGUUAAUGGUGUUAGAGGUCAAGGAUAUGAUAAUGGUUCAAACAUGAAGGGAAAACACCAAGGUGUCCAGAAGAGGCUACUUGAAAUAAAUCCGAGAGCAUUGUACAUGCCAUGUGCCUGUCAUAGCCUGAAUCUUACUCUAUGCGAUAUGGCAAAAUCUUGCUCUAUUAAAAGAUGGCAGGUAUUGCUUGAUAAUGUUCCAAACCUUACUGUUAAAUAUCUCUGUAAUACUCGCUGGGAGAGUCGGAUAAAGAGUGUUCAAGCUAUUAGAUAUCAAGCGCCUCAGUUAAGAAAAGCUCUAUUGAAGUUGCAGAGAACUUCUAAUGAUGACCCCAAAACUAAGAGUGAUGCAAAAUCUUUGGUCAGUAAGAAGUUGCAGUCUGAGUUUAUGUGCAUUGAUGUUACCCUUAAGCAAAUUGAAGGUGCCAUCUCAUUUUUUAAGAAGUACAUAAAUGACGGCUUUGCAUCCAGUGUGAACAUUGCAAAAUCUAUUGCA